rnacentral:lncRNA from 1 species
GGUUUUAAUUAAAUGGAAAGAGACUCCCAAGGCUCUCGCCAUGUGCCUGGACUCCUGUGUUCGCCUCCUUGACUCCAGAUUUUGGCGGCUAAAAGAGGCCAGGCAGGCAGCCAGCAUUCUGCCCAAGAAUGGGCAGCAUCUUUAAAAAUUCCUGCCGUGAAAGGACCACAUAGUUCACACCUGCUUGGGUAGAAGGUUUCCAGCAGGUACUUUGAUUCCAGCCAGGCAGAGCCACACAAAGGGUCACUGCUUCUCCCCCCUUGUGUAUGCUGUGGCGUUUACAACCAGACCACCAUGUGUAAAAAAAUUCAGUUUUCCUCCCCUUUUAACAGACUCUUCCUGGGCCUCCACGACUUCUUCAGAGAAACAGGAUCCUUAACAACUGUGGGGUAAGGAGUCGUUGCAGAAGCUGGUGGGACAGACUCUUGACACACAGCCAAUACCCCACAAGCACUUAUUUGACCUUCAUUCUAUCUAGCCCAGUCUGUGGCAGACUUUUACAUCUUCAAAUAGGUCACCUUGAGCUAGCGGUUGAGCUGAUAGGUCCUCGAACCAGACUGCUGUGUUCAAAUUCUCAGGCCGGUUGACUUUGGAUGUGGCUCUUGAACCAUUAUUUUCUGUUUUGAUUCCCUCAUCUGUAAGUGUAGCACUUAACAGACUGAUUUUGCAGGGCUGCUAUGAGGUUUCUGCAGGCUCCAAGCCUUCCAUGUAAUCACCAAGCACACCGCACAUGCCUGGGGCCUGGGCCAUCUACCUCAGUUCUCCUGGAUAACUGCUUUUCAACACCUCCCACGGGCUAUGGACAGGUGACCCACCUUCCCGUUACCUGCUGCAUGGACCACCUCACCUCUCCCCAGCUCAGCUCCAUCUCCUCUUUCUAUUUUCUCUUGGAUCUUUCCAAUCAAUAUUAGCACUACAAUGUUUUUCAUAUCAAAAAAAAUCUCUCUUGACACUACUUCCUCCUUUGGCUAUAGACUAUUUCUGAGAAUUUUUUUUUUAAAUUAAGGACUGUUGGACUUACUGUGAUCGCUCCUCUUUUUCCUUCCUGGAUUUCUCCCAUUGAGGCUUUUGCCCCCAGGACCCCAUAGAGUGGCUUCUCAAGACACCAACAGCUUUCCUGUCACUGAACCAGGUCUCCAUCCUCACCUCUCAGCCUUAUCAGCAAUGGACAGAGGUGGCCGCUGCCAAUUUGUAGAACUCUGUGAACCAGACUGGUUUUCUGCCUCUUUUCCUGGUACUCUAUGUCCGGUUUCUCUCUUUAUCCUUUCUCUCACUGUAAGUUGGGCUUACAGUGGGUGUAAAGAUACAUCUUUAUCAUCUUGAUGAUCAUGGCUGCCCUAAGACUUUAGUUACACCACAUAGAUAAUGGCCCACAUAUAUAAUGUAUGGAUGUUUCCAGACUAGACCACUUUUGAGUUCCAAGUUAUGUACAUCGUUGCUUUCAUCUCUAAGAGGCAUCACAGACUAAUGUGAACACCUGGGGCCUGAGUGUGCUGACCCAGGGCGUGUCCUUCUCACUGAGAACUAAAGGACCACAUGAACAAUAAAUAUAUCCCAAGCCUCUGUGCUCAUCUUCUCUGCUUAUGUUUCAUUGGCCAACAUGAGUCACAUGAGCAAGCACACCAACACAGAGACAGGAAGUACACACAGCAAUGAGAGAAAAGGGACUGCCUAGCUUACCCAGCUGCCACCCGGUGCCACAGGGGUGCUGGAUUCCUUAACUUUGGCUCAGGCUCUUGGGGACUUUGGAGUCUGUGAUCUACAGUACUUCCUGCCUGGCCCAGCACACUGUUCCCUAUCUGAUAGCCCCCCUGAGCACCAUCCUAGUAGCAGCUCCAUGUGGAGCUUCAGUCCUGGACCUUUAAGUUAGGAAUUCUGACGACAUUCUGAAGGUGGCAUUUAGAGACACAUAGGGAACUUCCUGGACUCUUUGGGGGUGAGUUCCUGUGAGUCUCGGAAAAACAUAUGACCCGAGGGGAAGUUGGUGUGCACACUCAGAAAGUCAGUCAGCAAACUCAGCAGCAGCUAUGGCAAGGCUGCUCGAAGCCGCCCACAGAGUCUGGUGCUGGCUAUCAGAUCCUGAGUGGGGGUCAGUGGGAGUCAACGUUACUCCUGAGGGGGAGUAGAAACUUGCUGUGGCUACUUCGGCACAUCUCUGACCUUUAGAAGAUGAAGAACUGGAUGUCUGAUAGUAAAGACUGAGUUAACAUCAGCAUUAAGGAAAGAAAACAUCCAUGUGUUUGCUUAUUUAUCCUGACCAUUUAUUAAGACGUCAACGUUUUGCUGGAGGAAAGUUCAUGAGCGAGCAACUUGAUUUCAAUCUCUCUCCUUCCUUUCUCUCUUCUCACCUCCCAGAUGCAACCAAUAGGAAGGAGGAGCCCAAUUCAGUGACCGGCUAAAUAUAACAGGAUAUGUGCUGAGGAAGAAUGGGAGCUGUGAGAGUCCCUGUGGGAGGGGCAUGAGUGGGACCGGAGAGAGAGGGAAGGUGUCCUGAAGCAGCGGCUGCCACACUCUGACUUGACAAAUGUGUCAGAGAGAUGGAAAGAUUUCAAAAAGGACCGGCUGUGGUGCUUCGCGCUGAGGCUGAGGUGGGCAGAGUUUAAGAGCAGCCUGUACAUCAAGAGUCAGAGACUGUC